CAUGAAUCCAUCUCUCAUUCUCGGCUUGGUCUCCCUCCCGAGUUCUCUCUCUCAACUCAGACCCCCUCUCCUUUUAUAUAUAUAUAUAGAAGCAAUUUGCUGUUCUCCCCAUAUAUCUUCGUCUGCAUUUACGAUACAUACACUGAAACACAUUACCUUUUCCCAAACAGAAGGAGAUAAGCCAUUAGAAAAUCAAUGGCCGAAGCCUGUACCUAUUUUUUUCUAUCCUCUCUAUUGUUCUCCCUCUUAGAAACAUCCAAUUCGUUGGACACUCUUCCUUCCAAUCAAUCAAUCAGAGACGGCGACACGUUAGUUUCAGCCGGUGGAACAUUUGAAAUGGGAUUUUUCAGCCCAGGCAGUUCAAAAAGCCGAUACGUUGGAAUAUGGUACGCGAUAUCUUCUGGGACAGUCGUAUGGGUGGCUAACAGAGACACUCCGCUUAACGAUCACUCCGGAGUUUUAACGAUCACCGAUGAAGGAGUUCUUGCCCUUCUCAAUAGCACAAAUAAUGUUGUUUGGUCCACUAAUAUAUCAAGAACAGCAGAAAAUCCAGUUGCACAGCUCCUGGAUACUGGAAAUCUUGUUGUGAAAGAUGGAAAUGUUGAUGACCCAGAGAGAUUUUUGUGGCAGAGUUUUGAUUAUCCUUGUGACACAUUACUACCAAAAAUGAAGAUUGGAAGGGACUUGGUAACUGGUCUAGAUAGAAUCAUGUCAUCUUGGAAGAGCACGGAAGAUCCUGCUCGAGGUGAUUUUACAGUAAGGUUAGAUCCUCGUGGGCUUCCGCAAAGGGUUCUGAUGAAGGGGAAUACGAUAAAGGCUAGAACGGGGUCAUGGAAUGGUCUUCGUUUUACGGGAUACCCGGGCGUAACUCGGAAUCCAGUGUUCGACUAUGAAUUCGUGAUGAAUCAGAACGAGGUGUAUUUUGAUUUCACACUCGUAAACACUUCUGUUUUUUCAAGAUAUACAAUAAACCCAUCUGGCGUUGCGCAGCGGUUUGUGUGGAUGGAUCGAACUCGCAGUUGGGAGCUUUACGCCACAUCCCAGCCAGAUGCGUGUCAAACUUAUGCAUUCUGUGGGGCAUACGCUACCUGCGAUCGCGAUAACUCUCCUGCAUGUGCAUGCUUGAAAGGGUUCUUACCCAAGUCUCCAAAAGAUUGGAAAUCAAUAGAUUGGUCUGACGGAUGUGUUCGAAGGACUCCAUUGGUAUGCAAUAUUGGAGAUGGCUUCCUCAAGUACACGGGGUUGAAAUUACCCGACACAUCUUCUUCCUGGUUUAAUGCGACCCUGAGCCUCGAUGAAUGCGAGGGAUUGUGCUUGAAAAACUGCUCUUGCACAGCAUAUUCCAAUUUAGAUAUUAGGGGAAAAGGGAGUGGCUGCUUGCUUUGGUUGGGGAAACUGAUUGACACUGUUGUGUACUCUCAGGGUGGGCAAGAUCUAUACAUAAAAGUGGCCAGUUCAGAACUAGAAAAUAAUGGGAAUAAGGGGAACACCAGCAAGAUAAAACGAGCAGGAAUCAUAGCCGGCGCUGUAGUAUUAGUGAAUGGAAUUCUAGCACUUGGAUUGAUCUCAUACAUACGGAAGAAGAAGUCUAGUUUCAAAGGAAUGACAAAAAGAAGACCCGAGAAAGAUUGUGAAAAUGAAGGCCUGAAGGAAGACAUGGAGUUACCGAUAAUUGAUUUGACAGCCAUAGCUAAUGCCACUAAUAACUUUUCAAGCAACAACAAGCUGGGAGAAGGUGGAUUUGGACCUGUGUAUAAGGGUACACUGCCAGAAGGGCAAGUGAUAGCUGUGAAGAGGCUUUCAACGAAUUCCGGACAAGGACCUAUUGAGUUCAUAAAUGAAGUAAAAUUGAUUGCCAAACUUCAGCACCGCAAUCUUGUAAAGCUUCUAGGGUGUUGCACGGAAGAAAAUGAGAAAAUUUUGAUCUACGAAUACAUGCCUAACAAAAGCUUGGAGUCCUUUAUUUUUGACGAGACAAAGAGCAAAUUAUUAGAUUUGCGCAAGCGCAUUGACAUUAUUGGUGGCAUUGCCAAAGGACUUCUCUAUCUUCACGAAGAUUCUAGACUGAGGGUCAUCCAUAGAGAUCUCAAAGCUAGCAAUAUCUUACUAGAUAUGGAAAUGAAUCCGAAAAUUUCGGACUUUGGCCUGGCUAGAUCAUUUCAGGGAGAUCAAAUUGUGUCCAAGACCCAUAGGAUUGUUGGAACAUAUGGCUACAUGUCUCCCGAGUAUGCAGUGCAUGGGCAGUACUCUGUGAAAUCUGAUGUCUUUAGCUUUGGAGUUUUAGUAUUGGAGAUCUUGAGUGGGAAGAAGAACAGGGGAUUCUGCCAUCCAGACCACCACCUCAAUCUUCUUGGACAUGCAUGGAGACUAUGGAUUGUAGACAGAGCAAUGGAACUGAUCGAUGAAUCAGUAGUUGAUGCACACACACGAUCUGAAGUGUUAAGACUAAUUCAAGUGGGUCUGUUAUGUGUGCAGCAAAGACCUGAAGAUAGACCAAACAUGUCUUAUGUGGUUCUAAUGUUAGGCAGUGAAGUUUUAUUGCCUAUCCCCAGGCAGCCGGGUUUCUAUGCCGAUUUAUCGGUAGCAGAUUCUCCAUCUAGCAACAACGCAACUUAUUCAGCAAAUGGAAUCAGCAUCUCAACAUUCGAAGCACGGUAGAUACUAUCACUUGGUGCAAAGGGGGGGAGUGGUUCUUUUGAAAUUUGUACAGUCAGAACAAAAGGAGUAAAGGAGCACCUAUAACUGCAAAAAUUCUGUUGAUUGCAAAGUCUAGGCAUUCAUCGAUGUAGAUGCUGUUGUACUUAUUGUUGGUGGUCUUAAUGAAAUCAUAGAUGAUGAAGACUCUGUGGCAGAGAUUCAAAAUGGAUGGGAGAACUCACGAUGGUAAAGAAGAGUCCUCGGGAGACUUUAAGAGCCAGGAAUCAAUAUCUUUUCAUUCUGAAGAGCAUGUCAAUGAUAUAUGCAUUUAAUUUGUGUUGUACAUCCAUGGAGCUAUAGAAAAUUUUAUUCAGAGGAAAAUAGAAAUACACUGUUGAGCAAUACAA